rnacentral:rRNA from 1 species
UGCGUAGGCGGACUAAUAAGUCAGUGGUGAAAUCUCUCGGCUCAACCGGGAAACUGCCAUUGAUACUGUUAGUCUUGAGUUCGGUUGAGGUAGGCGGAAUGUGUAAUGUAGCGGUGAAAUGCCUAGAUAUUACACAGAACACCAAUUGCGUAGGCAGCUUACUAGACCGACACUGACGCUGAGGCACGAAAGCGUGGGUAGCGAACAGGAUUAGAUACCCUGGUAGUCC